rnacentral:rRNA from 1 species
AUUGAACGCUGGCGGCAGGCCUAACACAUGCAAGUCGAGCGAGCGGCGGACGGGUGAGUAAUGUCUGGUAAACUGCCUGAUGGAGGGGGAUAACUACUGGAAACGGUAGCUAAUACCGCAUACCAUCAGAUGUGCCCAGAUGUGAUUAGCUAGUAGGGGGGGUAACGGCUCACCUAGGCGACGAUCCCUAGCUGGUCUGCGAGGAUGACCAGCCACACUGGAACGGAGACACGGGCCAGACUCCGACGGGAGGCAGCAGUGGGGAAUAUUGCACAAUGGGGGCAAGUCUGAUGCAGCCACGCCGCGUGGGUGAAGAAGGCCUUCGGGUUGUAAAGCACUGUCAGCGGGGAGGCGUUACCCGCAGAAGAAGCACCGGCUAACUCCGUGCCAGCAGCCGCGGUAAUUC